rnacentral:rRNA from 1 species
AUUGAACGCUGGCGGCAUGCCUUACACAUGCAAGUCGAACGGUAACAGGUCUUCAGAUGCUGACGAGUGGCGAACGGGUGAGUAAUACAUCGGAACGUGCCUAGUAGUGGGGGAUAACUACUCGAAAGAGUGGCUAAUACCGCAUGAGAUCUACGGAUGAAAGCAGGGGAUCGCAAGACCUUGUGCUACUAGAGCGGCCGAUGGCAGAUUAGGUAGUUGGUGGGAUAAAAGCUUACCAAGCCGACGAUCUGUAGCUGGUCUGAGAGGACGAUCAGCCCCACUGGGACUGAGACACGGCCCAGACUCCUACGGGAGGCAGCAGUGGGGAAUUUUGGACAAUGGGCGCAAGCCUGAUCCAGCAAUGCCGCGUGCAGGAUGAAGGCCUUCGGGUUGUAAACUGCUUUUGUACGGAACGAAAAGCCCCGGGUUAAUACCCUGGGGUCAUGACGGUACCGUAAGAAUAAGCACCGGCUAACUACGUGCCAGCCGCCGCCGUAA